rnacentral:rRNA from 1 species
GACAGAGGGUGCAAACGUUGUUCGGAAUUACUGGGCGUAAAGCGUGUGUAGGCGGCUAGGUAAGUCGGAUGUGAAAGCCCCGGGCUCAACCCGGGAAGUGCACUCGAUACUGCUUAGCUCGAGUACCGGAGAGGUUGGUGGAAUUCUCGGUGUAGAGGUGAAAUUCGUAGAUAUCGAGAGGAACACCGGUGGCGAAGGCGGCCAACUGGACGAGUACUGACGCUGAGACACGAAAGCGUGGGGAGCAAACAGG